rnacentral:rRNA from 1 species
UGCCAGCAGCCGCGGUAAUACGGAGGGUGCAAGCGUUGUUCGGAAUUAUUGGGCGUAAAGAGCAUGUAGGCGGACUGUUAAGUCUGGCGUGAAAGCCCGGGGCUCAACCCCGGAAGUGCACUUGAAACAGCAAGACUUGAGUACGGUAGAGGAGAGAGGAAUUCCGAGUGUAGGGGUGAAAUCCGUAGAUAUUCGGAGGAACACCAGUGGCGAAGGCGGCUUUCUGGACCGAUACUGACGCGAGACGCGAAAGCGUGGGGAGCAAACCGGAUUAGAUA